GAUGAACGCUAGCGGCAGGCUUAAUACAUGCAAGUCGAGGGGCAGCGGGAGUAGCAAUACUUGCCGGCGACCGGCGCACGGGUGCGUAACACGUAUGUAAUCUGCCCAUCACAGGAGGAUAGCCCGGAGAAAUUCGGAUUAAUACUCCAUAAUAGAAGAUAAAGCAUUUUAUUUUCUUGAAAGUUCCGACGGUGAUGGAUGAACAUGCGACCGAUUAGUUUGUUGGUGAGGUAACGGCUCACCAAGACUACGAUCAGUAGGGGUACUGAGAGGUUAAACCCCCACACUGGUACUGAGGACACGGACCAGACUCCUACGGGAGGCAGCAGUGGGGAAUUUUGGACAAUGGGCGCAAGCCUGAUCCAGCCAUUCCGCGUGCAGGACGAAGGCCUUCGGUUGUAAC
rnacentral:rRNA from 1 species